AUUCAAACCUCACAGGCCUCAGUCACACCUGGGCCUUUAUCCCAAGAGAGACCAGGAGCCAAUGAAGGAUUGAAAUGGUCAGUGGAGGAAGAAGUUUGGAUCAUCAACAAGGUCCCUCCCAGCUGAGCAUCACUCCAGAGAAACAUCAUGAUGGAGGCAUGCCUCGGCUCCUGCCUGGCCCUACUCCCCACCUGCAUCUUACUGCAUCCUCUGGAAAAGGUGGAUGAUCCUGAAACACAAGGGCCUACAUUCCUGCAUGGUGAUAACUGGCUGGAGCAGGGUAAGUGCUUCCUCCCAAGAUCAUCACAGCCCCACCGCUGGACCACACUGAGACUCCCUGGGGCAGCCAUGGGAUGUUUAAUUCUUCCUGGGUGGGCUCACUACAUGCCUGCAGGCCUCAUUCCUUCCAGGACAGCAGCUGGUACAUUUCCCCCAGGGGAAUGUGCUCUGGAGGGAGGGAUGCCAUCUCUCCCAUUCUUCCAUUAUUUGUGGGUGCAGGGCUCUCUCUGCUCUGAUGUGGGCUAUUAAUUAAUCCUGGGCAGCAUAAUUAGCCACCAAGGUCUCAGGUCACAGGAGGUGCAAGUCUCUGUUCUCUGCCCUGGUGCCCCACACGGGGAGUGCCUGCGUGUGCAGUCGUGUCCAACUCUGCGACCCCAUGGACUG
ensembl:lncRNA